GGAGUUGGCCAGGCAAUCGCCGCUUUCGUAAGAAAGGGGAGGAAAGUCCGGGCUCCACAGGGCAGGGUGCCAGAUAACGUCUGGGCGGCGAGAGCCGACGACAAGUGCAGCAGAGAGAAGACCGCCUAAGCAUGUUUACAUGCCGGUAAGGCUGAAAGGGUGCGGUAAGAGCGCACCGCACCUCUGGUAACAGAGUGUGGCGAGGUAAACUCCACCCGGAGCAAGACCAAAUAGGAUCCCUCAACGUGCGGCCCGCAUGGGGAUCGGGUAGGUUGCUUGAAUCAGUGAGUGAUUGCUGAUCUAGAGGAAUGGUUGCCCACGACAGAACCCGGCUUAUCGGCCAACUCCACCU
rfam:Alteromonas sp. RW2A1 genome.